rnacentral:lncRNA from 1 species
UACACAUUUGGGGAUGAUCCAGUGUAAAAAUAUGACUCACGACAAGGACAAGGCAAUUUUUAUCCAUUAUCUUAUUAUAGGGGUCUUAUCUGACUGAAAUAACAAACAUCUAUUCAACAUUCGCAUUAUUCAUUCAGUUAAAUAAUAUAUUUUUAGUAUAAAUUUGCAAGUUUGAGUUGAGGCUAGUUAUUAGAAUGGACUAAGAAGAGAGGU